GCAAACUCCGAAUACCUAUGAGUACUAUCCGGGAGACAGACUGCGGGUGCUAACGUCCGUAGUCAAGAGGAAAACAAUCCAGACCGCCAGCUAAGGCCCCAAAAUCAUAGUUAAGUGGGAAACGAUGUGGGAAGGCUUAGACAGCUAGGAGGUUGGCUUAGAAGCAGCCACCCUUUAAAGAAAGCGUAAUAGCUCACUAGUCGAGUCGGCCUGCGCGGAAGAUGUAACGGGGCUAAGCCAGUUACCGAAGCUGCGGAUUUGCAAUUUAUUGCAAGUGGUAGGAGAGCGUUCUGUAAGCCUGUGAAGGUGCGUUGUAAAGCGUGCUGGAGGUAUCAGAAGUGCGAAUGCUGACAUGAGUAGCGUUAAAGGGGGUGAAAAGCCCCCUCGCCGUAAGCGCAAGGUUUUCUACGCAACGUUCAUCGGCGUAGAGUGAGUCGGCCCCUAAGGCGAGGCAGAGAUGCGUAGCUGAUGGGAAACAGGUCAAUAUUCCUGUACCGAUUGUUAGUGCGAUGUGGGGACGGAUCUUAAUAGGUCAUCCGGGUGUUGGAUAUCCCGGUUUAGAUGGAAGUAGGCGUGCAUUAGGCAAAUCCGGUGCACAUAUACCGAGGCCAUCGAUCGAGCCAGCUUGCUGGUGAAGUGAUUGAACGAGGUUCCAGGAAAAGCCACUAAGCUUCAGCUAACAACGACCGUACCGCAAACCGACACUGGUGCGCGAGAUGAGUAUUCUAAGGCGCUUGAGAGAACUCGGGAGAAGGAACUCGGCAAAUUGGUACCGUAACUUCGGGAAAAGGUACGCCCCGGUAGCUUGAUUGGUUUACUCCAUGAGGGUGAAAGGGUUGCAAUAAACUGGUGGCUGCGACUGUUUAAUAAAAACACAGCACUCUGCAAACACGAAAGUGGACGUAUAGGGUGUGACGCCUGCCCGGUGCUGGAAGAUUAAAUGAUGGGGUGCAAGCUCUUGAUUGAAGUCCCAGUAAACGGCGGCCGUAACUAUAACGGUCCUAAGGUAGCGAAAUUCCUUGUCGGGUAAGUUCCGACCUGCACGAAUGGCGUAACGACUUCCCCGCUGUCUCCAGCAUAGACUCAGUGAAAUUGAAUUCCCCGUGAAGAUGCGGGGUUCCUGCGGU
rnacentral:rRNA from 1 species